CAUGAUUUCGCUUCCCCUCCUCUCUUCCAUGAUUUCAGCAUCACCUCCGAAACCGACUUCAUAAAACACGAAUCCUAGCAAUUCUUACACCUAAACUCACAAAUAUCGACAACCAAGUAGUUGCAUUAUAGCAGCUCUCAGUAAACUUUAAAAGCGGACAUAUCAACUCAAAUGUUUCACAGGAUCAUAGCUUAAACCAAAAUAGUACCAUAUCGUAUUUCCCUAUUCAAUCUAAAUGAAUUCAGUAUUCAAGAAAGUGUUUGAAAGUGCAAAUAAAUCGUUUGAAAGUUCUUUUCUUUUUCACUUCUUUUUUAAAUUUAUCAAAGCUAUCAUAUAUUAUCUCACUCACAACCAAAAUCGCAAGAAUUAGCACACCAAUAGUUAUAUAAAAAACUUAACCAAUGUUAUUAUCUCCGAACAUCUAACUUUCUUGUAAAAGUAGAAAAUUAUGCCGUAGUUCACACAUUUUUCAGCUUUGGAGUUUGAAUUGUACAAUCAAUAACACUGCAAAUCACCUCAAUCAAAGUAUCUAAAUAUGCCAGCAAAUAUACUUCUAAUGAUAAAGCCUUGGAAAAUCUUAUUGAAUGAACCAAAAAUGUAAAGAAAGAUAAUAGUAAUAACCAAUUGCAGAAUAUGAAAAAGUGGUUCAACUAACCUGCUGGAGGGAAAGAGGGAGAUUGUAAAACCGGGGCAUAGGGUUCUCUGCGUUGAAGAAAAAAGGCGGUGCUUAUC
rnacentral:lncRNA from 1 species